GGGUCACUUUGCACGACUCUUAGUGCCGCUGUCACCCGUGGGUGAGCUCUCUCCCCAGCGUAGCAGAGCUCUGCUCACAAACAGACCUUCCCAGCCCUCCCGCCUUGGCUGUCAUACAUAAGAUACCCAAAUGGCAUCCCCAUUCAACAUCAGUCAGCUGCUCCAGUGCUGUGGAAGGACAAACAUUUCCCUCCCACCAGAAGAGGAACCUUUGACAGAUGGAAUAACCAGUUCUCAUUCUCCUGAGACCAGCAGGAACAGAAAUCAAGACUUCUGUUGCUGUAGGAAGUGGCUGCUGAAAAGGACAUUUCAGACUUACACUUAAAGAGCCCAGAAUAGUGGAAAUAGAAGUUGGCCAGUGGAAAAAAAAUCAAUUCCAUCUGCCUUAUAAAGUAAUCCAAAGCACUGAA